GGUGCUGCAUGGCUGUCGUCAGCUCGUGUUGUGAAAUGUUGGGUUAAGUCCCGCAACGAGCGCAACCCUUAUCCUUUGUUGCCAGCGGUCCGGCCGGGAACUCAAAGGAGACUGCCAGUGAUAAACUGGAGGAAGGUGGGGAUGACGUCAAGUCAUCAUGGCCCUUACGACCAGGGCUACACACGUGCUACAAUGGCGCAUACAAAGAGAAGCGACCUCGCGAGAGCAAGCGGACCUCAUAAAGUGCGUCGUAGUCCGGAUUGGAGUCUGCAACUCGACUCCAUGAAGUCGGAAUCGCUAGUAAUCGUGGAUCAGAAUGCCACGGUGAAUACGUUCCCGGGCCUUGUACACACCGCCCGUCACACCAUGGGAGUGGGUUGCAAAAGAAGUAGGUAGCUUAACCUUCGGGAGGGCGCUUACCACUUUGUGAUUCAUGACUGGGGUGAAGUCGUAACAAGGUAACCGUAGGGGAACCUGCGGUUGGAUCACCUCCUUACCUUAAAGAAGC
rnacentral:rRNA from 1 species